rnacentral:misc_RNA from 1 species
AAAACCAUUCUAUAUUUCAAAACCCCAUAUAUUUCAUGUACAUCCAUGUAGACUAUUAAUCAGAUUUCAGAGCAGUGAACUUCAGCUUUUUUAAAAGAAAAAAAAUGGCUUUCUUUUACUGAGUAUUACUGUGUUGAUAGAUAUAAACCUAUUGAAAAUAAAUUCUGAAAGAGGGAGAAUACCAAAUUCCAUCCAAACAUUCCGUCCACUUUAUUUUUGAAGAUUUUUGUUGUCUGUGAUAUCGAUUCUUUUAUCACAUUAUUAUAUUUUUACACACAACAGUUUCAGUAUUUAUUAUCCAGACCCUGUAAUCCACACAUUAUUUUGUGACUGUAGAUUUUUCUCCGAUGGCUUUUUACUUGUGGUUUAUAUAUUAGAGGAUUUUGGCUCUAUGCACAGAAGGACAAUCAAGAUUAGAAAGUCCCCAUGUGUUUUCUUCUUAACCUAUACAUGUAUAUGAAUGUAUAUAUAAUUUGUAAAGAAACUGAUAAAAGAUGUAUUUAUUUCUGUAUCUCUCUGAAUGUAUGAUUAAAAUGGUACAAUGUUACGUUAUUAAGAUUCUAUUGUCAAGUAUUGUUCCUCUGAAAUAAAAUUUGAUAUUUG